UACGAAGGGGGCUAGCGUUGCUCGGAAUCACUGGGCGUAAAGCGCGCGCAGGCGGUCUUCCAAGUCAGUGGUGAAAGCCCGGAGCUCAACUCCGGAACUGCCAUUGAAACUGUUAGACUUGAGGAUGAGAGAGGUGAGUGGAUUUCCCAGUGUAGAGGUGAAAUUCGUAGAUAUUAGGAAGAACACCAGUGGCGAAGGCGGCUCACUGGCCCGGUACUGACGCUGAGGCGCGAAAGCGUGGGGAGCAAACAGG
rnacentral:rRNA from 1 species